AACAGGGUGCAGAGGGGGAAGGUUGGGGGGCGGGUUCUAGGGAUAGCAGGCUGGGGCGGAACAGGGUGCAGAGGGGGAAGGUUGGGGGCGGGUUCUAGGGAUCGCAGGCUGGGGGGGAACAGGGUACAGAGGGGGAAGGUUGGGGGCGGGUUCUAGGGAUCGCAGGCUGGGGGGGAACAGGGUACAGAGGGGGAAGGUUGGGGGCAGGUUCUAGGGAUUGCAGGCUGGGGGGGAACAGGGUGCAGAGGGGGAAGGCUGGGGCAGGUUCUAGGGAUCGCAGGCUGGGGCGGAACAGGGUGCAGAGAGGGAAGGUUGGGGGCAGGUUCUAGGGAUCGCAGGCUGGGGCGGAACAGGGUGAAGAGGGGGAAGGUUGGGGGCAGGUUCUAGGGAUCGCAGGCUGGGGGGGAACAGGGUGCAGAGAGGGAAGGUUGGGGGGCGGGUUCUAGGGAUCGCAGGCUGGGGGGGAACAGGGUGCAGAGGGGGAAGGUUGGGGGCAGGUUCUAGGGAUCGCAGGCUGGGGCGGAACAGGGUGCAGAGGGGGAAGGUUGGGGGCGGGUUCUAGGGAUCACAGGCUGGGGGGGAACAGGGUGCAGAGGGGGAAGGUUGGGGGCGGGUUCUAGGGAUCGCAGGCUGGGGCGGAACGGGGUGCAGAGGGGGAAGGUUGGGGGCGGGUUCUAGGGAUCGCAGGCUGGGGGGGAACAGGGUACAGAGGGGGAAGGUUGGGGGGCGGGUUCUAGGGAUCGCAGGCUGGGGGGGAACAGGGUGCAGAGGGGGAAGGUUGGGGGGCGGGUUCUAGGGAUCGCAGGCUGGGGCGGAACAGGGUGCAGAGGGGGAAGGUUGGGGGCGGGUUCUAGGGAUCGCAGGCUGGGGCGGAACAGGGUGCAGAGGGGGAAGGUUGGGGGCAGGUUCUAGGGAUCGCAGGCUGGGGCGGAACGGGGUGCAGAGGGGGAAGGUUGGGGGCGGGUUCUAGGGAUCGCAGACUGGGGCGGAACGGGGUGCAGAGGGGGAAGGUUAGGAGGCUAGCAGGGGGCUGCGGGUCGGGAGUGAGGGGCACCAGUAGAGCAGGAGAGGCAGGGUUGGGCUAGCAGGGGGCUGCAGGUCG